rnacentral:lncRNA from 1 species
CGCUACGUUGGAGAUUCCAGUGUUAAGCAUAAGCACACCACUUUCAACUGUCAAAUUAACAAAUAGGUGUUAGUUUCAAUACACGACUUCUAAAUAGCCAACCUCAGUAGUUAAGUAGUAGUAGUAUUAGCAUUGCAUUGAGGACCGCAAACAAGGUUCCGUAAAAGUACUGAUGGAAAAGUAUAAUUUAUGAGGUGAGGAUAAUUCCACCUACCAUCGUGAACAAACGAGUGGUGAUGAUAGAGAUAAGAUAGAUUGAGGCACGAAGCAAAGCCACGUGGCCGACUGGUAGCAUAUCAACUAACGUUGGUGCUCGUUGCAACCACACUAUUUCCACAAGCUCUCUCCCUGUUUCUUAUCAUUAAGAAGAAGCAGAGCAUCAGGAGUUGGUAAAGUAGCCUUCUCAUAAACUCAAACAAGGAAAUGGCGACCGCACCCGCUUUAUGUGGCUCUGUGUUGAACACCUCUUUUCUCAGGAAGCAGCCUGUGAUCAGCACAAGCCUCAAGUCAUUCCCAAACGCUAACGCCAUGUUCGGUGUGGAAGGAGGACGUGGAGGUCGUGUGACUGCCAUGGCCGCUUACAAGGUGAAGCUGAUCACCCCAGAGGGAGAGCAGGAGUUCGAAUGCCCAGAUGAUGAAUACAUUCUUGAUGUUGCAGAGGGCCUAGGCCUUGACCUUCCCUACUCAUGCAGGGCUGGUUCUUGNUCUUCCUGUGCUGGCAAAGUUGUCGCCGGCAAAGUCGACCAGUCGGACGGUAACUACCUUGAUGACGACCAAAUUGGUGAAGGCUGGGUUCUCACCUGCGUUGCUUACCCAACCUCAGAUCUUGUUAUCGAAACCCACAAGGAGGAAGACCUCGUUGCUUAAAUCUUAUCAUCAUCAUCAUCGCUGCCUCUACUUUAUUAAGUUUCUUCCUUUCCCUGUGCUGCCUUUUCUUUAUCUGAGGAUAGACACACCCAUUAUGCUUUAUUACGUACCAUAAAUACCUUCUUAUGCAGUAAUGUAAUUCAUUACUUCCCCUGUAUUAGCAGCUCAACAUGUUUUUUUGUUAACUAUAAUAAUCUUUUCCUUACAGUUUUUGCGCGCAAUAUCCUUUCCACUUUCCGCCCUUCAAUCACUGAUUAUUACCUUUUACGAUCACAAAUUCGAUCUUGUCAUUCUAUCCGUGUUAACAUUUUAUGGUAUUGGAUUCAUAAAUUUAUGAAAGCAGUGCUAAAUACUAUCACAUAUUUAUUUACACAUCAAUCUGCGCAAAUACAAUAUAUAAAAAUGUUUUUCAUUGCUCAAUUAACAAUACAUAUAAUAUUUAUAAGCAAAACAGAUAGAAGUGCAACUCAAACAUACUUGCUUGUUUACGUUUUCACGCUCCCGACAUUUUUAUAUUUACGAUCUUAUCAUUCUCUUUUUGAGGUGAAAGAGGGAAUAUCUCUAUCAGAGAAGAUAAUGGAUAAAUCCCACAUAAACUAUAAUCUGAUAAGUCUUUCUAUAUAUAUCAAUCCAAGAUGUAUUUUCUUUCCCAGGGUUUGGAGAGGGUGCUCUUGGAGCAAAGAUUUGUAACUAUUAAAAAUGAAAUAAACUAAAAGUUAAAAUGAGGUUCUAUUAUUUAAGUAAAGGUUAAAUAAUUUCAAAUCUUUCGUAGUAGCAAAGAGUCCACUAAAAUAAUGCAGAGUCAGCAAAGUGACAGAUUCUCUGCCAUUGAAGUAUUUUAACUUAUUCUAAUUUGAGAUUUUAUUGCUUUCUAUAUUUAAAACAGAGGUAAAAAAAUUGUUAAAAAAACAUUUUUCUUUUAACUUAUAGUAUAUUAACAAUAUUUUAAUGUUUAAAAGCCGGAAAAGAAGAGUAUGAAUGGAUAAGAUAUGCAUCGAAGAACAAUGUGAUGAUAAUUUUCAAGUGGAAGCCUGGAUUUUGCACAAUCUGUGGAGAUAACAGAGGCACAGAGAUUGAGGUACGUGAGGUUGCAUUCGACCAAGAUAUGGUGAUAACAAUCGUGAGAACCAGUUGUGAUAAAGCCACGUGUAAGUGGGGUUGCAUGUGAUGUUGGAACUGGUUGUAAUCACAAGCUCCUUAUCGUUAUCAACAAAGAAGAAGAAAAAUCCAUCAACUUUGCAAGCAAGAGGAGAAUGGCGUUGAUUCAUGUGGCAGUGUUGAACACCUCCUUCCUCUGGAAACAGCCAGUCCUGAAGGCAUUCCCGAAUGCUAACGCCAUGUUUGGUGUGAAAGGAGGAAGUGGGGGUCGUGUGAGUGCCAUGGCCAGUUACAAGGUGAAGCUGAUCACACCAGAGGGAGACAAAGAAUUUGAAUGCCCAGAUGAUGCUUAUAUUCUUGACCAGGCUGAGGAAAUAGGCAUUGAUCUUCCCUACUCAUGCAGGGCUGGUGCUUGUUCUAGCUGUGCUGGCAAAGUUGUGGCUGGCCAAGUAGACCAAUCAGAUGGUAGUUUCCUUGAUGAAACUCAAGAGAGUGAAGGCUUUGUUCUCACCUGCAUCGCUUACCCCACUUCAGAUGUUGUUAUUCUCACUCACAAGGAGGAGGAACUCACUGCCACUGCUUGACUCACUCAGUUUCUUCCCUUCUCAACCUCAUCAUCUUUUUUCUUUUCUGUCUUGUGCAAUUUUCUCAGGAUUUUACUAUAUAUAUCAUGUUUCAUUCUUUGUUUUAUGAUCGGCAACUUAUCACGAAAUUUUUUGCCUUGAUGCUGACUUGCAUUGUAGCUUCUUAUCUCAGUUGUUAUAGAUGAUGAUUUCAUGCAUUGUGUGGCCAAAGUUUUUAACCUUCAUAUCACUUAAAAAUGAGAGAUGAUAUCUGAUUGUGUCUGCUGCAUUAGGUAGAUUCCACUUGUGAUAAAAGAAUUGAAGCAGGCUAAGGAUAUGGAAUGGGAGGCAUUAGAGAAAAGAACAUCAUUGUAGUUGAAUUCCUUGCCAAAAUUAAGGAAUGAAGUCAAUCAAAUGCAAAUGGUUAUAUUCACACUUUUGUGUUUUCUUUCUGUUCUACCUUUUACUUUUCCCUAGUAUUGCCAGAAUCAGUCAUGUGAACUGCAUAAGGGUAGACCAUUUGAAGACAGAUCCUUUCUCAUUGAUGCAUAAUUGUCAAACGCUAAAACAUAGAUAGAGGGUUCAUCAAGUUCCACAUUAAGAAGAACGUUUCACAAACAUACCCAAAAUAUUCACAUUCUUCCCUGCCAAGCCCAUGAAACAUAUAUCAUAGGAUCCAUGUCUUGUAAAUCAAAUCAGUUCAUCCAUUGUCUUUACUCCUCUAGUUGAAUCAAGUAAUUGACCAAUUUUGUACUUCAAUUCUUCAGGUUUGCUUUCUUAGCGUUAUCUUUAAGGUAGCUGUUCCUUGUUUGAUCCUAACACACUGUCAUCUUCAAAAGAACUUUUACUGAGGUCCAUACUUCUUCAAGGAAACUCAAAGGUCCUCAAUUAUAUGAUAUGCAUCCUGAACAGCAGUACUGCAACACAAGUAUGAGAUGGAAAUCCGCUUACAGAUAUUGAAUUUGCAAGGGAAUAAAUGGAAGAAAGAAAACUGAACAACUGGAAUAAAUAGUUGAAAUAAGAUUGUUCAAGUAAUAACAGUGUUUCCAAAUUAAUCUUUAUUACUGAUGAAGUAGUUGAAGUGAGCAAAGUAGUUGAAGUGAGCAGAAGGAAAACGUGGUAAAAAUACGUGUGGUGAUAAGAGAUGAGUUGAAGCCUAUAACAGUGACACGUGGCAGAUAAGGUUGUACGUGAUUUCACUUCAUUUCAUUGGUUUAUGUAUCAGAGAAGAAGAAGAAGAAGAAAAAGAAGGAGAAGAAGCAGCAACAGCAAGAGGAGAAUGGCAGCUCUGUGUGGCCCUGCAUUGAACAGCUCCUUCCUGAGGAAGCAAGCAGUGAACAUGUCAAGCAUGAAGGCAUUCGAAAACGCCAACGCCGUGUUUGGUGUGAAAGAAGGACGAGGUGGUCGUGUGACUGCCAUGGCCACUUACAAGGUGAAGCUGAUAACCCCAGAGGGAGAAAAGCAGAUCAAAUGCUCAGAUAGUGAAUACAUUCUUGAUGCUGCAGAAGAACAAGGCCUUGACCUUCCCUACUCAUGCAGGGCUGGUGCCUGUUCUUCUUGUGCUGGAAAAAUUGUGUCUGGCAAAGUGGACCAGACAGACAAUAGCUUCCUUGAUGACGACCAAGUUGAUGCAGGAUUUGUUCUCACCUGUAUUGCUUACCCGACCUCUGACGUUGUCAUCCGCACCAACGUGGAGGACGAACUCAAUGAUUUUUAAAUCUUGUUUUCUUUCAAAUCUCAUGUACUGUUGAAUAAGGUGAAUCUUGUUGCUUUCCUUUCUGCUUCAGUUAUGAACUCUCAUGUUAUUGCUUUCCUUGCCUUCUUAUAUGAACUAUUAAGCUUCGAACGAAAUCACCAGCAAUUAUCAUGUGGUAUAUGUUAUACUUGCAAUUACACGACAAGUCCAUAUGUGUGGUCGUUCUUGAUUGGUAACACCAUUCAUUGACAAGGAUAAUUUUGUAAGCAAUAAAUAAAUUAAAAAGAAAUUUCAAUUUACAAUGAAUCCAUGAAAAACAUUUAGCACAAUUAAAGCAGUGGACGACCAUAAACCAUACUCAGAUUCCAUAUAUAAAGUUUUAUAUACUUACCAAAAAAAGGAAAAUAAGAAGAUAUAACGAGGCAUAAGAUGAUGCCACGUGGCAGAUAGGAUUGUGUGUGGCCUCAGCACCUCAUAUAGGGUAUAAUAAGCACACUAUUUCUGCAAAGUGAAGGUCAGAAUUCUUAUCCUUCAGCAAGUAGAAGAAGAAGACGACGACAACGACGCUAGCAGCAUUGAAGAAUGGCGUCGAUGGCACCCGCUCUCUGUGGCCCUGUCUUGAACACUUCCUUCCUCAGGAAGCAACCACUGAACAUGGCAAGCAUGAAGCCUUUCCAAAACGCUAACGCCGUUUUCGGUGUGGAAGGAGGACGUGGAGGUCGUGUGACUGCCAUGGCCGCUUACAAGGUGAAGCUGAUCACCCCAGAGGGAGAACAGGAGUUCGAAUGCCCAGAUGAUGAAUACAUUCUUGAUGUUGCAGAGGGCCUAGGCCUUGACCUUCCCUACUCAUGCAGGGCUGGUUCUUGNUCUUCCUGUGCUGGCAAAGUUGUCGCCGGCAAAGUCGACCAGUCGGACGGUAACUACCUUGAUGACGACCAAAUUGGUGAAGGCUGGGUUCUCACCUGCGUUGCUUACCCAACCUCUGAUCUUGUUAUCGAGACCCACAAGGAGGAAGACCUCGUUGCUUAAAUCUUAUCAUCAUCGCUGCCUCUACUUUAUUAAGUUUCUUCCUUUCCCAGCCCCAUUGUCUUUUUCCCUUUAUUCUGUGCCAUUUUGUCAGGAUAUAUACGUAUGUUAUGUUUGUUUAUGAACAACUUGUUUUGCACUAAUUCGUUAAUUACUUCACCUGUACGUUGUAGCAGCUCAAGUUCAUUGCUGUCUUACUGUUGUUGCCCACUUGAUUGAAUGACAACUCAAUUUUUUUGGUAGAUGAUUAUGAUGUUAGUGCGGAGGAUUAGAGUUCCCAAAUGUUAGGAAAUAAAUUGUGUGGUUCUCUUCUUAUCGCUUAGAAGAGAG